CAUUUGUAAAAGUGUCUCUCUAGCCACACCAGGAAGACUCAACCUCUAGAAACUCAAUGAAGAUGGCAAGGACUUAAAUCUGCAUGGACAACAACCUUAUCCUUGUUUACUAUUCUUUUCCUACCUAGUAACCUCCCAUAACUGACUCUCCAUCCCCAACAUCUUUUCUCUUUUGUCUUCUUUAUGAAGGUGAAGGCUUUGGCCACUGCUCUGGAGAUCUUACUCAGUUUUCCUGGCUUGGACUCCCCCAUAUAUACAGGAGGUUUUUUACUUUACAAAAACUAACAACUGAAAAGAAUAUCCAGAAGGAAGAAGAAAUAAAGGAGGCACUAAUGUCUACGUUUCCUGUAUUUUUCAACCCUAAUGAAUGUUCACCCUGUAGGUGUAAUAUGUUCCAUUAUUUAAAAGAAAAAGAUAAUAAAAAGCAUUUUCCUGUGCUUUUAAGCAUUUAUGAAAAUACA